GACGAACGCUGGCGGCGUGCUUAACGCAUGCAAGUCGAACGGAAAGGCCCUUCGGGGUACUCGAGUGGCGAACGGGUGAGUAACACGUGGGUGAUCUGCCCUGCACUUUGGGAUGAGCCUGGGAAACUGGGUCUAAUACCGAAUACACCUCGCUGGCCGCAUGGUCUGGUGGGGGAAAGCUUUUGCGGUGUGGGAUGGGCCCGCGGCCUAUCAGCUUGUUGGUGGGGUGAUGGCCUACCAAGGCGACGACGGGUAGCCGGCCUGAGAGGGUGACCGGCCACACUGGGACUGAGAUACGGCCCAGACUCCUACGGGAGGCAGCAGUGGGGAAUAUUGCACAAUGGGCGCAAGCCUGAUGCAGCGACGCCGCGUGGGGGAUGACGGCCUUCGGGUUGUAAACCCCUUUCAGCACAGACGAAGCGCGAGUGACGGUAUGUGCAGAAGAAGGACCGGCCAACUACGUGCCAGCAGCCGCGGUAAUACGUAGGGUCCGAGCGUUGUCCGGAAUUACUGGGCGUAAAGAGCUCGUAGGUGGUUUGUCGCGUUGUUCGUGAAAACUCACAGCUCAACUGUGGGCGUGCGGGCGAUACGGGCAGACUAGAGUACUGCAGGGGAGACUGGAAUUCCUGGUGUAGCGGUGGAAUGCGCAGAUAUCAGGAGGAACACCGGUGGCGAAGGCGGGUCUCUGGGCAGUAACUGACGCUGAGGAGCGAAAGCGUGGGGAGCGAACAGGAUUAGAUACCCUGGUAGUCCACGCCGUAAACGGUGGGUACUAGGUGUGGGUUUCCUUCCUUGGGAUCCGUGCCGUAGCUAACGCAUUAAGUACCCCGCCUGGGGAGUACGGCCGCAAGGCUAAAACUCAAAGAAAUUGACGGGGGCCCGCACAAGCGGCGGAGCAUGUGGAUUAAUUCGAUGCAACGCGAAGAACCUUACCUGGGUUUGACAUGCACAGGACGCUGGUAGAGAUAUCAGUUCCCUUGUGGCCUGUGUGCAGGUGGUGCAUGGCUGUCGUCAGCUCGUGUCGUGAGAUGUUGGGUUAAGUCCCGCAACGAGCGCAACCCCUAUCUUAUGUUGCCAGCGCGUCAUGGCGGGGACUCGUAAGAGACUGCCGGGGUCAACUCGGAGGAAGGUGGGGAUGACGUCAAGUCAUCAUGCCCCUUAUGUCCAGGGCUUCACACAUGCUACAAUGGCCGGUACAAAGGGCUGCGAAUCCGCGAGGUGGAGCGAAUCCCUCGAAAGCCGGUCUCAGUUCGGAUUGGGGUCUGCAACUCGGCCCCAUGAAGUCGGAGUCGCUAGUAAUCGCAGAUCAGCAACGCUGCGGUGAAUACGUUCCCGGGCCU
rnacentral:rRNA from 1 species